rnacentral:sRNA from 1 species
CUCGUCGGAAGACUGGGGACAGAUGAAGUGCACGUGAGAGUCGAUACCACCGGCCGUGACGAUCGUGCCCUCACCAGCAACAACCUCAGUGUUCGAACCACAGAUCAGGUUGUCGUCCACACCGUCCUGCAUAUCCGGGUUACCAGCCUUGCCGAGACCUGCGAUCUUGCCAUUCUUCACACCAAUGUCACACUGCAGCGUCAGCUUGACGUCGAUCUAUUACCAGCUGGAACAUACCUUGAAGAUACCGCUCCAGUCCACAACGAGAGCGUUGGUGAUGACAAGAUCGAGGACCUCGGCGUCGGAUCGUCCGCUCGCCUGUCCCAUACCGUCACGGAG